GGAAGACAUAGAGAAAGAAUGAGAUGGUCAAAAAUAUAUCUUCCUAAAUUUGGGGCACAACUGCACUCAUCAGGGAUGAUUUGAACUGGAGGUAAGGGGGAUCUGUGAAAGACAAGAGAAGGCCCGGAGUUUUAGGGUGGGCCAUGUGGAGGCUCUUUCAAGGGAGAACUCGGGGGGGUUCCUGAAAAGGAAGAGAACCUCAUCCCACCCAGAUAUCUUGCUUGAUGAGUAUCCAGAUGUACUGGAGUUGAGAGAUAGAGUAGUUUUUCCUCUCUGCACUGGGAUGUAGUGGAAAAGUGUUCCUUACCAACCAGAAGUAGAAAGCAUGGUGGGCGGCUAUGGCUUCAUCUGUGAUAUUGAAUAUCAGAGGGCAAAGUGAAAAUACCUAGUCAGUCAUCAGGUUUCCAGACAUUAGGGUUUUUAGUCUUUGUGGAUCCAACUUCUUUCUUUGAAUAAUGUAAAGAGAUGUUUGAAUUCUGCCCAUUAAUUCAGUAAAUGAUAGUCAUGAUUAACUUAUCUAAUAACAAGAGUGAGGACUCAACAGUAGCAAACCAAUGAUAGUACAAGGACUCGGAGGCCCUGGAUCCUUCUUUGGUGGAUAGUGGAAGCAUACCUGACAGCCUCAGCAUAUGGAGAACUUGGUCAGUUGUAUAGAAGCUUUGGACAAGCAACUUCAUGUCUAACAUCACUUUCAUACACCCUGCAUGAGGUUUUUUGAUAUUGGUUCUUAGUGUCUGGACUAGUUUUACCCAUUCUAGGUCAGAGUUUAAGCUAGCCAAAGGGCCCCAGUCUAGCUUAUCAGAGGUUAUUUCCAGAA
rnacentral:lncRNA from 1 species